UAGCGCUGCUAUAACCAAAACGAGCAUUCUCCCCGGAAGUGGGUGGUGCAUGCCAAUAGUUUUAUGCUAACGUUAGUUAGCUAUAUAGUAGCAGCAACAGCUGGUUGCUAGUUGAUUUUCUUGCCAAGACAAUUAAAAACUGGCAAUUACGAUACCGGUAAUGGUUCGAUAUGACAAACCGCAACAUUCUGGGUAACAUUAGCUAGCAAGCUAGCUAGGUAACGUUAAACGCAAAACGUUUGAAGGGCUUAGUUUUGGUGUUUCCUGUGCCCUAUGAUCUAAAUCAGAUUUGCUGUCUGGAAAUAGGGGGCUGAAGGAGGAUGGCGGUGUGGAUCCAGGCCCAGCAGUUGCAGGGGGAUGCGCUGCACCAGAUGCAGUCGCUCUACGGACAGCACUUCCCCAUAGAGGUGCGCCACUACCUGGCCCAGUGGAUCGAGGGGCAGCUCUGGGAUUCUGUGGAGCUGGAGAACCCCCAGGAUGAGCUGAAGGCCAAGCGUCUGCUGGACAGCCUGGUGCAGGAGCUGCAGAGGAAGGCCGAGCACCAAGUGGGGGAGGACGGCUUCCUGCUCAAGAUCAAACUGGGACACUACGCCGGCCAGCUCAAGAGCACGUAUGACCGCUGUCCUCUUGAGCUGGUGCGCUGCAUCAAGCACAUCCUUCACUCGGAGCAGAGGCUGGUGCAGGAGGCCACCAACGCCGUCGGGAGCAGCGGUGGGGGCGGGACCAUGGACAGCCUGUCCCAGAGGCACCAGCAGAUCAACCAGACGUUCGAGGAGCUACGCGUGUCCACGCAGGAGACUGAGAACGAGCUGCGCAAGCUGCAGCACAACCAGGAGUAUUUCAUCAUCCAGUACCAGGAGAACCUGCGCAUCCAGGCCCAGUUGAGCAGUCUGUCGGCCGUGCCGGCAGAAGAGCGAACCCAGAGGGAGACCAGCCUGCAGGCCAAGAGAGCCACCGUGGAGGCUUGGCUCACCAGGGAGGCCAACACACUGCAGAAAUACAGACUGGACCUGGCGGAGAAGCACCAGAAGACUCUGGGCCAGCUGAGGAAGCAGCAGACGCUGAUCCUGGAUGAGGAGCUGAUCCAGUGGAAGAGACGUCAGCAGCUGGCCGGCAACGGGGGGCCCACCGAGGGGGGACUGGAUGUCUUGCAGUCCUGGUGUGAAAAGCUGGCGGACCUGAUCUGGCAGAACCGGCAGCAGAUCCGGCGGGCCGAACACCUGACCCAGCAGCUACCUCUGCCUGGCCCAAUGGAGGAGCUGCUCACCAAGCUCAACUCUGACAUCACCGACAUCAUCUCCGCCCUCGUCACCAGUACGUUUAUCAUCGAGAAGCAGCCGCCCCAGGUGCUGAAGACCCAGACUAAGUUUGCGGCUACUGUGCGCCUACUGGUGGGCGGGAAGCUCAACGUGCACAUGAACCCCCCGCAGGUCAAGGCAGUCAUCGUCAGCGAGCAGCAGGCCAAGGCCCUUCUCAAGAAUGAGAGCACCCGCAAUGACAGCAGUGGAGAAAUUCUCAACAACAACUGUGUGAUGGAAUACCACCGGACCACAGGAACCCUGAGUGCUCACUUCAGGAACAUGUCCCUGAAGCGGAUCAAACGGUCGGACCGUCGCGGGGCAGAGUCGGUCACAGAGGAGAAGUUCACUGUCAUGUUUGAGUCUCAGUUCAGCGUGGGGGGCAACGAGCUGGUGUUCCACGUCAAGACAUUAUCUCUCCCCGUGGUGGUGAUAGUUCACGGUAGUCAAGACAACAACGCCACGGCAACGGUCCUGUGGGACAACGCUUUUGCAGAGCCGGGCAGGGUGCCAUUCAUAGUUCCUGACAAGGUGCUGUGGCCCCAGCUGUGUGAAGCCCUAGACAUGAAAUACAAGGCAGAGAUGCACAGUGCCCGUGGCCUCUGCGACGACAACCUGAUCUUCCUGGCCCAGAAGGCAUUCAGCAGCGCCAGCAUAAACCCAGAAGACUACCGCAACAUGACCAUGUCCUGGGCCCAGUUCAACCGGGAGAGCUUGCCUGGAAGGAACUUCACUUUCUGGCAGUGGUUUGACGGAGUCAUGGAGCUCAUGAAGAAACACCUGAAGCCCCACUGGAAUGACGGGGCGAUCUUGGGCUUUGUGAACAAACAGCAAGCCCAGGAUAUGCUGAUGUCCAAGCCCAACGGGACCUUCCUGCUCCGCUUCAGUGACUCUGAGAUCGGGGGCAUCACCAUCGCCUGGGUGGCAGAGAACCCUAACAAAGCAGGGGAGAGGCUGGUGUGGAACCUCAUGCCGUACACCACCAAAGACUUUUCUAUCCGCUCACUAGCCGACCGCAUCAGUGACCUCAACCACCUCAUGUUCCUCUAUCCCGACCGGCCCAAAGACGAGGUGUUCUCCAAGUACUACACCCCUCCCCUCUCAAAAGCAGUGGAUGGCUACGUCAAACCACAGAUCAAGCAGGUUGUUCCAGAAUUCACUACUCCCAACCCUGAGCCGUCCAGUGGGAACCCCACCUACAUGGACCAGGCACCCUCCCCGUCAGUGGCUCACCCCAUCAACUUUGCAAUUUUCCCUCCCAUGGACUGAUUUAGAUGUGGGACACCAGGUGGGUGCAAUUAAUUAUCAGGGAGAACAGAAAACCAUCAGGCUUCGGACCUCGUAGGAAGUGACCCCAUGAUGGACGCAGAUGGAGAGUUUGACCUGGAAGACACCAUGGAUGUGGCCCGACAUGUGGAGGAGCUUCUGCGGCGGCCCAUGGCCAACCAGUGGGACGGCCAACAGUCCUGAACUUUCACCUUUGACCCCUGACCCUGCACCCCAACAAGAGCAAGCACCCACAAAACAUCCAAUGGUUUUGGUUCCAUUGGUUUAUAUUGUCUAUUUUUGUCAAUUCUCAAAGGUGAAAUGUAAUAUUUGACAGUUCUUGGAUUCUUCUCUGAUCUUCUAGACGUGGCAAUUGAUUAUUUAAAAGAAAUAGCUAAUUGUACCUGAAGAAAAAGCACAGUAGAAAAGGUUUGUUUGGAAGUAAGUACUGAGAAAAAUGUAGGAAUGUGUGUUACUACAAUAUACAGCAAUAUUUUUACAAAAAUGUUUAGCUAUGCUGCUUAUGGCCAUACUCUAAAAAUGUUUAAAGGGCAGGAAGGCCUGCACACUGUUUUUAUGCUCCCAAUUCACAGCUUUAUUGACAACGUUUCGAUCCGAACCGGAUCUUCGUCAGGUCAAACGAAUGGAGUGCUCACAUCUGAAAAUGUACACAUUUCACCUCACAUGACCAUGACACAUGGUGGGUGUGGAAACAAUUCAAUUAACUUUUUCUCAUAGUUAAUCAGAGUUACAUAUGGUCAUAAAGUAUUAUAUUCGUACAAAUAGGGCUGAGUUAACCUAGGCAACAUUUUAAUACGGUGGCAUACGGUGGCCAUAGAUAUAAUGACAGUGACCUAUUUCAAAAACGAACUUGUGUACCUCUAAUAAUUUAGAUCUCAAUGAGAUGGGCACAUGUAGUAGUCUUAGAAUAUAUAAUAUGUACAAAAUGACCAAGUGGUGACCUGGCUGGCAAGACAAGUCAACAUUAACAUAUUUUUGUAACAAAAUAGUCUAUCAAACUCUUUGUUCAUAGCUUUAGGAGACAUGGUGGACACGGGGAAUCCAAUGCAAUUCUCUUCUCAGUAAUAAAUUAACUGUACCCCCCCCCCCCAGUAGCCUUAACAUGUUCAAUACCCAUGUAUCUCAGAGAGCUGUUGUGACAAGCCUCCGUGAAACGUGCAGCCACAGUUUCUGUGAUCAGGAGUCCUGAUAUUUCUCUUGUGUUCUAUGUUUUCAGAGCUCGUUUCUUUUUUUCCUGCAUGGCAUAGACCACAUAUGCACUUGAUCAGGUAUACCUUUUAUUUUAUUUUGUAUAACACGUGAUACACUUCAUCUCAAUGGCCUUGCCUGUGAUGGGUUGAUUGAACGUUGUGCAUUUGUUCUUAAAGUUACACUGGGUACAUCAGCCACAUCUGUAAUUACUGUCCGGCACGUUAUCUAGGAAGGUGCUACGUGGAAGGGAUGGUUUAGGAGUGAGAAUAGGUAAUGUUGUUCUAACAGUCCCGUGCAUCAUACAGCCAAUCCUCUGGGUAACGGCAGGAAGCCUAGUGGUUAGAGCGUUGGGCCAGUAACCGAAAGGUUGCUAGAUCGAAUCUCCGCUCUGACGAGGUAAAAAUCUGUCGUUCUGCCCCUGAGCAAGGCAGUUAACGCACUGUUCCCCCGAGCUCCGAAGACGUGGAUGUCGAUUAAGUGCGAUUUUUAAAUGCGGGAGACACAUUUCAGUUGAAGUCAUUCAGUUGUACAACUGACUAGGUAUCCCCCCUUUCCCUGUUUUGAAGUGUUCAUCCAGACAGUGCACUUGAUUGUACUACAGAUCCUGCUUAUACAAUUGUAUUGGGUGAUAGGGAGGCUCUUUUUCAGGGAAAGGUACCUUUACUCUUUUCAGGUUGGUAUUGUCAAAGAGAGGCGCUUUAGUCAAAGUACACCGCAUUUCUUUAAAUGCUCAGUGCUGCAUUUGUUUCUAAAGGUUUGGAAUGUAACAAUUAAAUGAUUUGAAUCUUGCGUCUACACACCGUUAAAUUCAAAAUCAACAUAACAAAAUUGCCAUUCAGAAUGAAUGAAAAUGUUUGAAGUAGAUUCCACCGUUGAGUAUUUGAUAUACGAUAGUACAGUAUUUUGACCCUUUGCAUCCUCAAAAUGGGGCCCUUGGUUUGAAAUGCCAUGUGCUGUGUACAUUCUGCCUCCCAUUACAUGCGUAAUACAUGUACAGCAUCUUCUGCCUUUGAAUGUCACAUUUACUAGCCUUAAUUCAAACUCCUCUUGCUUCUUAUUACACUGAACUAGUUUCACUUAGUGUAUCAGUUUAUUUUUCUAAACAAAUUAACUGGUAACUAGUAACUUAACUAUUGAAUUGCUACUCAAAUUCAUUAGACUACAUUAUAAACUCAGCGAUUACCAAUGACCCGCUCUCUUUUUGCUUGACUAAUUUAGUAUGAAUUAAAAACAAAUCAAAAUAAUGUACCUUUUGCCCGGAUCAUACCUUGUUGUUUAAGACGUUAAUGUUAAGUGUUACCCAUUCACUGAAAAUAUAAAUUUUGAAUGGGCUGUGUGAUUAUGUAUUGAUAUUUUUUUAACUGUAUGAAAUCAUGUUACCUAUAUUUGCAGGCCCUGUUCCUGACUCUUAGCUACCCACCCUUUAUCUCAAGUACCACACAGCUACUACCUUAUUUGCCUAUUCAGAAGUACUUGCGCAGUAUCGUAGCUUCUCUCCUUCUCUUUCUGUGCCUUAAGACACUGACCACGAUUGUGAAGUGGCAACACCAAUGUCCAGGCAAGAGAUUGUAUAACCACAUCCCUUUAGUAUGCUCUUCCUCGCCUUUACAGCACCGCGUUCAGGGCAUGGGCAACGUUGUGGAGUGUAGAUUAACAAAAUACAGUGCCUUGCAAAAGUAUUUAUCCCCCUUGGCGUUUUUCCUAUUUUGUUGCAUUACAACCUGUGUUUUAAAUUGAUAUUUAUUUGAAUUUCAUGGUAUGGACAUUCACAAAAGUCCAAAUUGGUGAAUUGAAAUAAAAAAAAUACUUUAUAAAAAAAAAAACGGAAAAGUGAUGCGUCCAUAUAUAUAUUUGCUAUGAAGCCCCUAAAUAAAGUCUGAUGCAACCAAUUACCCUCAGAAGUCACAUAAUUAGUUAGAUUGCACACAGGUGGACUUUAUUUAAGUGUCACAUGAUCUUAGUGUGUGUAUAUAUACACCUGUUCUGAAAGGCUCCAGAGUCUGCAACACCACUAAGCAAGGGGCACCAGCAAGCAAGCGGCACCAUAAAAACCAAAGAGCUCUCCAAACAGGUCAAGGACAAAGUUGUGGAGAAGUACAGAUCCGGUUCGGUUAGAAAAAAAUAUCAUAAACUUUGAACAUCCCGCGGAGCACCAUUUCAAUCCGUUAUUAAAAAAUGGAAAUAAUAUGGCACUACAACAAACCUGCCAAGAGAGGUCCACCCACCAAAACUCACAGACCAGGCAAGGAGGGCAUUAAUCAGAGAGGCUUCAAAGAUAACCCUGAAGGAGCUGCAAAGCUCCACAGCAGAUAUUCGAGUAUCUGUCCAUAGGACCGCUUUAAACCGUACACUCCACAGAACUGGGCUUUACGGAAGAGUGGCCAGAAAAAUAAGAAAACAUGUUUGGUGUUCGCCAAAAGGCCUUUUAGGAAACUCUCCAAACAUAUGGAAGAAGGUACUCUGGUCAGAUGAGAUUAAAAUUGAGAUUUUUGGCCAUUAAGAAAAAUGCUAUGUCUGACGCACAUUCAACACCUCUCAUCACCCCGAGAACACCAUCCCGACAGUGAAGCAUGGUGGGGGGGGGUGUAUAUGGCCAAUAUACCACAGCUAAGCGCUGUUCUUAUGUACGACGCAACGCGGAGUGCCUGGAUACAGCCCUUAGCCUUGGUAUAUUGGCCAUAUACCACAAACCCCCGAGGUGCCUUAUUGCUUUUAUAAACUGGUUACCAAUGUAAUUACUUGUGGUAUACGGUCUAAUAUACCACGGCUGUCUGCUAUCAGCAUUCAGGGCUCAAACCACCCAGUUUAUAAUAAGGAAUCACAUGAACUCUGUUGACAUUUCUGUCUGUGACGUUCCACGUUUGCCUACUGAACGUAGCCCAGGUUUAGCCCCUUAUUACCCUCCCCAUUAUUACCCUUCCCAUCGAUCAUAAUUCACUACGAUGCGGCUAGUCUCAGGAAAAGAUACUUUGAUGUAUGGUUCAUCCCAGAGAUUUCGAGGUGACCACACCUUAGGCAGAGAAGAAACAGUGCCUACCGGUCUAAAUUUACUGCAUAUAUUCAAAGCUAGCUAUUUUCUUGUGCUAUUUUACCACCAUAAAUGCUAUUUUACUACCAAUAUGUGGCAUGCAAAUUUGUAUGUGAAUUAAAGUUUACUAACAAAUGUAAAAUGGGCAGAGUGGAUAUGAGCUUUUCCACUCACAACACCAUUUGUUUUGUUGCUUUGCUUAAGUCUAUUUUCUCAGCAUUUGUUUUUUCUUGUUCAAGUCGAGACAUAUAUGGGAAAGUACUGUACAAAUUGUCCUUUUUACUUGUAGUUCACCUGUAUUUCUUAACUGUGUGGGUUUUAGUCUUGAAUAUAUGGGUUGUAUUACACAAAGCAGAACCAAGAAGUCAGAAAGCUAACUUUGAUUAACAAAGAAAUAACCAGUAAAUAGUUAAGGUAAAUUUCACUAUGGGUUCUUGAAAAUCAUUGCCGUUAUACCAUACCUUUUGAAAAAAGAGAUUAAAUACUUUCAAUGGAGAAACAUUAUUUUUAAGUCUUUGCUUCAUCUGUUUCUGGGAAACCAGGUGCAUGGAAUAAACUGUAUACAGUAUAAAAUGAAAAACUCCAGCACAAAAUUUAGAAUACUCCACAAGAUAUACCUUGAAGUUCAGUUGAUGAACAUUGACCCUGCUUUGUGAAAUAGAUUUUAAUCUGUCCUGUGUUUUUACCUUGUUUGCUUAUAAAUAUAGUAUAGUGCCCUGAGUUUUUCCCAUGUAACAAGACCAGGAAAAAUUCUGGGCCCUACAUUGAAGUUGGGGAAGGAGCCAGAAAUAAAAGUUUUAUAAAUAAUUUUAAA